UGGGGAAUAUUGGACAAUGGGCGAAAGCCUGAUCCAGCAACGCCGCGUGAGGGAUGACGGCCUUCGGGUUGUAAACCUCUUUCAGCAGGGACGAAGCGCAAGUGACGGUACCUGCAGAAGAAGCACCGGCCAACUACGUGCCAGCAGCCGCGGUAAUACGUAGGGUGCGAGCGUUGUCCGGAAUUAUUGGGCGUAAAGGGCUCGUAGGCGGUUUGUCGCGUCAGGAGUGAAAACUCGGGGCUUAACCCCGAGCCUGCUUCUGAUACGGGCAGACUAGAGGUAUGCAGGGGAGAACGGAAUUCCUGGUGUAGCGGUGAAAUGCGCAGGAUAUCAGGAGGAACACCGGUGGCGAAGGCGGUUCUCUGGGCAUUACCUGACGCUGAGGAGCGAAAGUGUGGGGAGCGAACAGGAUUAGAUACCCUGGUAGUCCACACCGUAAAACGUUGGGCGCUAGGUGUGGGACUCAUUCCACGAGUUCCGUGCCGCAGCUAACGCAUUAAGCC
rnacentral:rRNA from 1 species